CCUGUUUUCUCCGUGACCACAAUAUGAACCAGGAUGAUGGUGGUGGCAGUGGGCUUGCAUCACAGGUUGCAGCAGAUGUUCUCAAUAUCUCUAUUAAAAUUUCCUUAUUUCCGUAUGUGAGAGGAGCUCCAGAGCCGCAUCCUUAUGGUAGCUACCAUGCCGUGAUGUAAGCUGCCAUUCACUGGGAGCUUUGGCAAGAGAAUUGGCUAGAUCAGCAAGCCCAUCUCCACUAUGGAACAACAACUUGCAGCUCAUCUCUAUUGAUGGACAUCUAACAAUGAUAUUUGAAAAACAGACACUAAGUCUUAGAGAGGUGAAACAGUCACAAAUGGAAUAUCAAGAAACAUGCUAUAUACACUGCCUCUAGGACUGGAACAGAUAGCCACUGAGUAGCAGCUUCAAAUCACCCUGCACAUUUUCUUGUUGGAAAGAUAACCACUGGAGAACCAUCUCGUUACCUUCAGCAAAAAUGAAAACAAAUCAAGACAUUAAGAAUGCCACAGUGGACAGCAGUUACGCAAGGUUCAGCAGAGGAAGUUUUCAAGAUGGUGUGCCUCGCUAGCCAGAAAUCAGAAAAGAUCGAAGCUAGCCUUUUCAUCUCAGCUGCUCCUUAAAUCAGUCCAACCCCUCGAAAUUAAUGUGAAUUGAAAUAUGCAUUGCUUUUCAACUUAAUUGAGUACUUACUAUGUGUGAACCACUGCACAAAAUAGGGGAAGAAAAUGAGGGAGACAAAGCCUGCCUUCAGUAAAUUUACAGUUAGUUUCAGGGUACAUUGUUUUUCUUCUGCUGUUAAUUAGGUGUAUCCCCAAGAAAAUAAAUAAAUAAAUGGAAAAGUA